rnacentral:rRNA from 1 species
CCUGAGCGCGCCCGAUCUCGUCUGAUCUCGGAAGCUAAGCAGGGUCGGGCCUGGUUAGUACUUGGAUGGGAGACCGCCUGGGAAUACCAGGUGCUGUAAGCU